rnacentral:lncRNA from 1 species
UUUUGUGGUUUGAGAAAACUUGCAUAUUCAUGAAUAUUUGAUUUUUUUUUUUGUGGAAAAGUCUGCACUCAUUACUAUAGAAAGUUUGUAAUUUGUUGAACAUUAAAAUACAUGGUGCUCCUGUACCCAUGAAAUUUGGUCUCCAACGAAAAUUAACAUGAUUAAUGUAAUGAAUAAGCAUGUCUUCCCCCCUUUUAUAAUAUUUUUUGUGUCUUGUGUGAACUAAUGAGCAUACUAUAAAAAAUGCAAAAUAAAUGCAUGACUGAUACUAUGGAUGUUUCUUUUUUUAAUAGCUAAGGCAUGGAUGAGAUUGUCCUUCCAGCUCUAAUGGUCAUCUUCCCAAUAUUGGCAGUAGUAUUGUCUGUAAUCUUAACACUUAUUGUCCGGCAUACAAUUGUCAAGUUGAAAAACGUUGACAGACUCAGAAUACGGGUUUUAGACAUUUCAAUUAGGUAUGUCUUCUGUAAAAUGUAUAAUGAAUAUAUAUAUUUGAAAAAAAGGAUUGCACCACUAAAACUUUUUUUCAGUGUACAUUUCUUAUUCCAU